rnacentral:rRNA from 1 species
GACGAACGCUGGCGGCACGCCUAACACAUGCAAGUCGAACGGAGUUAAACAAGCUUGCUUAUUUAACUUAGUGGCGGACGGGUGAGUAACACGUGAGCAACCUACCUUUGAGCGAGGGGUAGCUUCUGGAAACGGAUGGUAAUACCUCAUAACAUAGAAAGCCGCAUGGCAUUUCUAUCAAAGAUUUAUCGUUCAGAGAUGGGCUCGCGUCUGAUUAGAUAGUUGGUGAGGUAACGGCUCACCAAGUCGACGAUCAGUAGCCGGACUGAGAGGUUGAACGGCCACAUUGGGACUGAGACACGGCCCAG